rnacentral:tRNA from 1 species
AGUGUAAUGGCUCAGUGGUGGAGCGCAUGCUUAGCAUGCACGAGGCCCUGGGUUCAAUCCCCAGUGCCUCCA